rnacentral:tmRNA from 1 species
GACCUAGCGCCGCGCCGCGAUCAGGCCUAUAUUUGUCGUGUCGCAAGACGAUGGCGCUGAACCUUAGAGCGGACUACGGACAGACCCGGGGGCAGUACCCGGCGCCUCCACCCCAGCAGCCUCACCGAAUGUGGGCUGUUGCGGCGGGGGCGAAAUAGGAUCGAUGGUCGUGAAGAAGCUCUGAGUUGUGCUCGGCAUGAUACCGCCGUUAUCGGGUCAAAACCUAAAUGCAAACGAUAACGUUCGCAUGAACGAAGUGCGCCUCGCGGCGUAACCGUUCGGGGUAGGUACACCUUGCAACAGAACGGCCAUU